UGCUUGCAGUCUGAUGACGAGUGGCGAACGGGUGCGUAACGCGUAUACAAUUUGCCUUAUACAGGGGGAUAGCCCGGAGAAAUCCGGAUUAAUACCCCAUAGUAUCAUUAAUUCGCAUGUUUUGAUGAUUAAAGAUUUAUCGGUAUAAGAUGAGUAUGCGUCCUAUUAGCUAGUUGGUGAGGUAACGGCUCACCAAGGCUACGAUAGGUGUAGGGGGCCUGAGAGGGUUGUCCCCCACACUGGUACUGAGACACGGACCAGACUCCUACGGGAGGCAGCAGUGAGGAAUAUUGGUCAAUGGACGAGAGUCUGAACCAGCCAUGCCGCGUGCAGGAAGAAUGCCCUACGGGUUGUAAACUGCUUUUAUUCGGGAAGAAACUCAAGCUCGUGAGCUUGACUGACGGUACCGAAGGAAUAAGGACCGGCUAACUCCGUGCCAGCAGCCGCGGUAAUACGGAGGGUCCAAGCGUUAUCCGGAAUCAUUGGGUUUAAAGGGUUCGCAGGCGGUUUGUUAAGUCAGUGGUGAAAUCCUACAGCUCAACUGUAGAACUGCCAUUGAUACUGACAAACUUGAAUACAGUUGAAGUAGGCGGAAUGUGUAGUGUAGCGGUGAAAUGCUUAGAUAUUACACAGAACACCGAUAGCGAAGGCAGCUUACUAAACUUGUAUUGACGCUCAUGAACGAAAGCGUGGGGAGCGAACAGGAUUAGAUACCCUGGUAGUCCACGCCGUAAACGAUGAUUACUCGAUAUUGGCGAUAUACGGUCAGUGUCUAAGCGAAAGUGAUAAGUAAUCCACCUGGGGAGUACGAUCGCAAGGUUGAAACUCAAAGGAAUUGACGGGGGCCCGCACAAGCGGAGGAACAUGUGGUUUAAUUCGAUGAUACGCGAGGAACCUUACCUGGGCUUAAAUGUAGAGUGCAUGCGGUGGAAACACCCUUCCCUUCGGGGCUCUCUGCAAGGUGCUGCAUGGUUGUCGUCAGCUCGUGCCGUGAGGUGUCGGGUUAAGUCCCAUAACGAGCGCAACCCUUACCGUUAGUUGCCAACAGGUUAAGCUGGGGACUCUAGCGGGACUGCCACCGUAAGGUGAGAGGAAGGUGGGGAUGACGUCAAAUCAGCACGGCCCUUAUGUCCAGGGCUACACACGUGUUACAAUGGCCGGUACAGAGGGCAGCUACUCCGCGAGGAGAUGCUAAUCUUAAAGCCGGUCUCAGUUCGGAUUGGAGUCUGCAACCCGACUCCAUGAAGUUGGAUUCGCUAGUAAUCGCGCAUCAGCCAUGGCGCGGUGAAUACGUUCCCGGGCCUUGUACACACCGCCCGUCAAACCAUGGGAG
rnacentral:rRNA from 1 species